CAUCUUAUCAAGAAAACUGGCAACUCUUCCAUUUUCUCGUACGACCGCAAUGAGGCAGGUACAAUCAAAGAUGAAUACUAAGAUGAAACUGUCGGAAGAAAAACUUUCUAUUUUAGUGUCUUCUUUCAAGGUCCCUUUCAUCCAAUGAGAACCCCCCGUAUUCAAGGUAAUUUUGUGGUUUUGCUGCCCCCUCGGAAGAUAUGAAAUUUUGCGCUCAUUUUUAUCAAAACAAUCACACCAAAAUCAGAGAUUUCCCAUUUUUUAAUUACUCGAUUAACAACUAAUUGAUUUUUUGCUCGCUGUGCUGCCAUUUUUCCACGAAUGAGAGUGCAGCACAUGUUUGAAACGAUCGGUGAUGAUCCUGUGGAGAUGUUAGAGCUUAUAUCGGUAUGAUCUAACCGAUUAUAAAUAGUCUACUUUUCGGUUCGUAAAUCGAUUAAACGAUUAUUCGAAUGAAAAUCGGACAUCACUAGAUGAAUGUGAAACGUCAUUUCAAAUAUAAGGCCGUUCAUAAAUAAUGAUACAAUAUGAAAGGGACCGGGGCUAAUCACAAAUUACGUCUCCAUGGUUACUGAAAUAAACACGAGUGUUCACCGGUUGGUACAAUCGUGUCAUCUGCCGUUCAAAGGUGAAUGCUGCGAACGAACUUGAUAGCAAGGAUUACAUCCUCAGAAGAAAGGUUUGUGUAUUUACUCAUUUUUCUAUGCGUUGCUUCCACCUUCGCUCAAGUGCAGCGCUACUAUAUCUGUCGCUUGGAUUCUGGAAAAGUUUCCAGUCUUCUUGAUAUGAUGUCUUCGGUCGAAUCCAAUUCAAUUUUAAGUUACUCUCAUCGGCCGUGUAAAGCUACACUCAAAAAAUAAAUCACAUUUCCAAUGGAAAAUAUCCAUUAGAAUUCCACACAACUUUCAUGUGAUCUCAUAAUUGGGAAUCGCACUACAAAAUCACAUGAACCUUAUGUGUCCAAAGAAAUUUAUGUGAUUUAUCACAUAGAAUUCAUGUGAUCAUAUGAAUUUUAUGUGAAUUUCAGGUACGAAUCAUUAAUUUUGUUAUUGGAAAAAUAUCAUGUGCGUUCCCAAUGGAAACUAUAUGAAAACUUUUUUCGGUGUAGGAAAAUGUGAGGGAUACGUAAGGAUAGAAAAGGGAUGUUUGGGAUUGGAUUAGAAUUAGGGGAAUUGAGUUGGGAAAGGCAUGAGGAGGUAUCGUCUCCAGUGCAUCCACCACAGUUUUAAUGCUUUGGUUCUGUCAAUUUGUGUCGUGUUAUAAAUAUUUUCUUCCUGUCAAUUUAUUGAUGAUUUGUUAUUAUUGACAGUAACUGUUGUGUUUGCAUUAUUUUCAACAUAUCUCAGUAUCACAGGACACACCCCGACACCGCAAAGCCUAACUUGUAUGCAACAAUAGAUUAAGAGUAAGUAGAUUAUAUGCAAAUGAUUAAUGAUUUAAUAUAAUCUAGAACCGACCCGUUAGAGGGUUCGUUAAACAGACAGUAACAAAGUAAAUAGUAAUGUACCGAAAUAAACUGCCAUUUUGUUCCCGAAUUAUUUAUAAAUUUUAAACUGGAGUUUAUCGCAUAUAUUACGGAAAUGUUGUGAAAUUGAGUUUAGUGCUUAUUUUUGAUAGCUAGCAGCAAAUGACUGAUUUAGAGAAAGCAACAAAAUCAUACGGCACGUGACACAGCUCCGUGAUUAUGCAAUUUUAGGUUAUUUCGAGGGUUAUUUAGGGUGUUGAUUAUGUUCCACCAUCAUACGAUUAUUGAAGCGGAACGAUAACAGUACAAUAGUAAGAAAUUAAUAAUUAUUAUAAUUUAUUUAAUUAUUGCGGAGAUGAUAUCUUGUGAAUCAUGCCGUUCAAUGCAUCCACAUAAUUUAUUCGAAGGAAGUCUUAGUUUAACCCAUAGGUCAAGUUUUUCGAAGUUGAUGAAUAUUUUUAAAUGCUUUAGUUCCCAUAGUUAAUUAAGAUAUGAUAUUCGUUUCUGAUGUAAGGAAAGCUGCUUAAGUUUAGCCGCACACCGUUUGAAACAAUUGUGUAAAAAUUAUAAAUUCAAUACCAAACUAAAUGUAGCUAUUAGGUUGAGUGAUUUUGUUCGUCUGAUUUUAAUUCUAUUUGUGGUUCUUCGAGUACACCCCCGUUUAUAAGGAAUUUGGAAUAAAACAGAUUUAUUAUGUGUAACAGAUACUAUUUAUAACGAUAAACCAGUUAAGUGUAUACAACAAACACUCAGAUAUACUUAAAUGCAAAACACCGAUAGUACUAACACACACACACACACACGUAUUUAGUGAAUAAAUUUGUUAGAUCAAACGUUUUCCUUCCUUCCCCACAAAAUGCUCCGUAUUGGUAGUGUCUCUUUGGUCAUCCAGAAGCACAGGUCGUACUCUGGUCGACUCUUUGUGAAAUAUACACAGUAAACUAUGUUUAUUAUAUUAUCGAGGGAAACAUCUCGCGUUUGAAUGAAACCGCCUCAGUAGUUAGUAUUUCUUUACGAAACUAUAAAUUAGAUUACAAAGCGAGAAUACGGAUAUGCGCAAAUAAACUGCCUGAUGUGUGUACUAUGAUUGAAGCUAGAAGACGAUAGGUCGCAGAAGGGUGAAUUUGGUUGAUGAGCCAUUGGCAUAAUAAUAAGUCGAUGGAGGCUGCAAAGCUAACAUAACAUACCUACCUACCAUUAAAUCGGGUAAAUCAGAAAAGCGGAACAAAGAAUCAAGUUCUAAAAAUAAAAUAAACAAAAGCUAACGUCAAACUGGAGUCUGCGUGCCUCUGGUGGGUCGGUAUUCGCUGAGAGAAAUAAUUGUUAGAAAGUCUUUUGUUGAAGUGAAGGAAAUAUACAUUGUUAUGGAAACUGAUUUGAAGAAUGCGAAACAUGUUUAGUAUGUAGAGAUUGAAUAUCAACAUCAAUUAAACACAUUAUAACAAUAUCGAUGUAUAUUUAUACACUUUAUUGAAUAAAAAUUUCGAAUGAA